UAGAGCAGACACGGGCAAGGGCAAGGCUACCGACUGGCUUAUCCUUUUUAUGUUUAAAGCUAUUAUGUUAUGUUAGGAUUAUUUGCGGACUAUGUUUAAGCUUAAGUAUGAUCAUGUAAUAAGUCUUUAUUAGAUAUUAUUAUGUAAUCUAUUAAGCACUGUAGGUUGCAAGACUUGGGGAAUAAUUAUAAUAAAUCAUUGUAUAUUAUUCUAAAAUAGAUUUUCUGUUGUGUAUGCGUUAUUUUAGUUAUUAUGGUUUUACCAUGAGAACGUGAUGAACCGAAUUCGAGUGACCAAGUGGAGGUCCGAAUUUGGGGGCGUCACAGGUUGGUAUCAAAGCCUUAGUUAUAAACCUUAGGAGCGAGUGUCCUUAGAUUAUAACUUAAGGGAACUUAGAAGUUAGGAAGGAGAUAAAACUCAUGUAGAGUUUUACUUGAGAGGCUUAGUGUGUUAUGAAAUGUAAUUUUAUUCUAUACAAUGAACUUAUAUUUUUUUAACAUUCUAAUGGAGUUGUUGUUUGUGUUGUCUUAUGUUGGUGAUUGUAGGAUGACUGACAUGGGAGGACCUAGCCGAGUAGUAGAGGAGGAGCCACGUGAUAUCCACGUAGUAUUUGAGACACCCUUGAUAGCAGAGCCUAUUUUAGUAGUAGCCCCUUUUGAUAAUGACGAUGAGGAAGAGGUGGAGUCUGACCCUGAGGAGGAGCCCGAGCCUGUAGAGGACUCCAACGAGGCUACUUUUGAGGAUCGGAUGUUAGGAGAGUAUGAGGAGUAGAUAUUGGAGUUGGGAUGUAGAGUAGAGGAGCUUGAGGCUAAGGCUAGGGAGAGGGAGUCUGCGUUCCAGAAGUUGAGGGACGAGGACCAUCAGAGGCAGCUAGUGAUGCAGGAGAUGGAGGUGGAGAUUGCUCACCGUAAGGAAGCAGGGAUCUAGAUGGGAACUUUGUUUCACCGAGCGGUGGCGAGGAAUGUUGAAGUGGCAGGAAAACUAUAGGAAUUAGAGCAGAAAGUGUUGAGUGAGAGGGCGGAGAAGGAGGCUCUCCGAACUCAGUUAGAGAUGGA
rnacentral:lncRNA from 1 species